GGCCGCGCCGGCCGCACAACGGCCCCGCCGCGCGGGCCCGGGGCUGCCCGGCCGUUGGCACCGCGGCCGCGCAGCCAUGUUGGCCCCGGGCAGGGCGGCGCGGGCGCGGCGGCGGCGGCGGCAGCCGGUCCCGCAGCCCCGGCCUGGCAGCGCCGUGUGCGCGAGCGGGAGCGGGCGAUGCUCGCGGGGAGCUCGGCGUGUGUGGGAACCGUGCGUGGGGCAGAGCGCCCGGGGAUGGCCAGCUCGUCAGGCGGCGGGGACCGCUCUCCCACACCGGAAAGACAAAGAGAUAGAAAUCUCAGUUGGCAAGCUGCCAGAAUCACAGGAAGCAAAAGCAAACCAGAGGACCAGAGGCACAGAAGUUUAUAGAAGAGGAGCACAAAUCACCCAAAGAUAGAUGAUUUUUAUUAUAAUGUAUUUUUUAAAAGAAUUUUCCUCUUUUGGCUUUUAGCCAAACUUGUUUGCUGCCUCCAAGACAUAAAAUAGAAACUCCAUGCUGCUCCACACUUUUCCCCAACUCCUGUAAGAAUGAAAAAUUCAUGCAUUUCCCGUGGCAUUCAUUUCAGAAGAGCUUUCCCUUUUCAGACUUAUAGUUGGAGUACAAAGAGGUGUGCACACUGCUUCAUAUAUGUGCAUAUUUAUUUUUUUUAAUUGGAAGAUAAGUGAUCAAAAUGUGUUGGUCCCUUGAGAAAUAAGGUUUCUGAGUAAAUAUUCGACUGUCAUACCAUUAGAUGUGCUGAAACAGCACCAAUUGAAUAUAACAACUCUCCUUGCUCACUUUGGGGGAGUUAAUAGCAGUGGAGAGGAACUUGUUUGACAAGAAGGCCAUUCAAAGUGGCCAUCAAUAGCAGGCAGGACACUUGAUUGCUUCAUGGUCUUUACCAGAGAAAGACAGAAAUGUUUAGAAGUUUUGCUGUGCAGAUUAGUACCAAGAGAAGAAACUUCCUAUAUUUAUUUUAAUCUAUCUGAAAAUUUGAACCCUUUGUCACUGUGGAGCAAAAUCCUCCAUAGUCUACAUGAGAGGGUAACUGAGGAUCAACAGAAUAUCUCAGCCAUAAAACACGACAUCCUUUGAACACAUCCCCAGGAAACAUUUGCUUGGGGAAAAAAACAACAGUUAACCUCAAGUGAGCAGAUCUCAAAGAAAGAGGACUUUUUAUUUCCCAUGUUGCCCAAGCACUGUGAUGUGAAGUCUUUGAAAUGACAGUAGCUACAAAAGACAGGAGCUCAGGCAGAGAACAUGCCCUAGGGAAAUGUUGUGGCUCCAGCAGCUGUAAGGAAGACAUCAGCUUAGAAAACAGCAGCCAACACAGCACCUCUGCCACAAGCAUCAAAUGGAAGAAGGCAAGCCUAAUUCCCAAAAAGCCAAGCCAUCUACAAUCAAUGCACUGACUAGUAACUUGUGGAAGAAUGUCUGUUAGUUGUCUAAAUGUUGUUCAUACAACUCACUGACUAAAACAAAAUUGCUUUGACCACUCAUAUAAAAGCUUAAGGCAUCGGGAUAUCAGGUGCCUCACUGAACUCUGGACUUCACAUAUUGCCCUUUCUUUUGAGAGUUGUAUAUUUUAUCCAGAAAAUAACACUGAGGUCCAGUUUUCUUUAAGAGCAGAUUUAGAAUAUGACAACUUCUGCUUUUGAAAGUAGAUUGCUUUAGACACCUCUGGGUCCUGCUCUAAAUAUAAAUCACCCAUGCAGUAUGCUUGUCAACUUGGGCCAGACAUGUCAUACAAGGGUUGGUUGCAUUUGUGAUUUUUUUUCUUUUUUUCACCUAGAUGUAAGCAAACCUUAAUGUAGCAACUUGAAAAGCAACCAGACUACUGUCAUCUUCAGUUGAGAGAAAGAAACAGAAGCACUCUGCUUGAGUUCUUCUUUCCCAUAUGGCUCAUAAUAAUUCAAAACUGCCAUUUUCUUCCCCUCGAGUUAUUUUGAAGGUAAUUUCUAUUUUGAUACAGAUCCUGAAGGAAUAGCUAGAAUGUCCUGGAAUUGCUUUUUUCAUAGCAGAAGAAUGACCUUUUAUGACACUGACUUAUAGGUAACAGACAUCAUAGCAAAGAUGGAAUUCUCUGUGCCCUGAAAGGGAAUGUUCAAUACCAGCAUGGUUCUGGUAGAGCUUUAGAUAUCCAUCCAGGUCUAAGUAGGAAACACAACUUUGCUGUGCUGUACCCAGUGAUACCAGACCAGAUCAACAGAACUACAUUUCUACAGUCUUUAAAACCUGUUUCCAGGUUGCAUGUUUCCUUUGAGACUGACACUAAUUUUAGCAGAGCCCUAGGCGAGAAUAACUUGAAUGCUGCAAGCCUGAAUUGGGCUCUCUCCUCAACAGUGCUGUGGAGGUAGGAUGUUUGCACAUCCAUGACAAGCCCUAACCUUUCCUCCCACUCUCAGCUUCUGUGACUUUGCCCCCUCAGGCUAUGAUUGCCCCAUCUUUUCAUUUUUGAGGCUUUGCAGACUUUGAUGCUGUUGCUGACAGUGCCGAAAGCCAGGAGCAGGGGAAGGAUGUGGUAAGGAAGAACAAUGUGUUGAGACUGAGAGGGAAACCAGGGAAUUCAGUAUUUGACAUGGCCUGUCAGUAUCAAAUGAGUGCACAGCAUGGAUAAGGAGGUGUGGACUGAAGGAACAGGUGGAAAUACUUGUGGAGCAGAGCUCUGGGAAGAUGGAUCUCUCCAUGAAUAGACAGACUGCACACCACAGUUAAGGUUGCCUAUUCAGUUUAGUAAUACCAAGGAAUAUUUCUCAGCUACUGAAGACCUUUUCACAACAUAUUGGGUGCCCGUUACAUAUGCAAAAUGAAAGAAUCUGGCAGGCACAAACAAGUUUGUCAGAAAGAAAUUACUACUUUGUAGAAGAAUGGAUUGAUACCCUAAACACAAUGAGCUGUGAGAAUGGGUCACUAAGACUCAUUCUCACUUUUGGUGUGAAGGAAACAAACUACUUGGAUCUCCGGGAAUCUCCAGUCACACUCAAGUGACACAAAAAGUUGACAGCUCUAUUUGGUAAUUUAGAUCCUCUUGUAGGUAUUAUCUUUCCAGCCCAUCUGUCAAAAAGAUACAAAACCCACAUAUCUAACAAGAUGGUGAAGUGGGAGCAGUUAAAGUUGUAGACAAGAAUUAGUCAAGUGUGUGCUACCAGGUGACUUUGAUCUCCUUUCUGUUACCUAUUCUUUCACUUAGCAUGCUUUCUUAAUCAAUGCUCUUUUAUCAGUUUUGUCCUUGUUCUGUGUUUGAAAAUCAACUGAGAUAUCCUUCAUAUAACCAAUCUAUCAGCCAGAUCUAGAUCAACCAUUCUAUUUUCAGCCCAUAGGCAUUUUUCUUGUUAGACAGCUUCUGCAUCUAGAUUAUCUCUUCAAAGUUCACCUUGUACAACAGCCUCUGAACAGUGAGCAAAAGAAAAGGAUACAAGAAAACGUGGCUAUUGUCGGAAAUGGAGACAACUGCAAAAGUGGGUCAAGAGAGUAUUCUCCAGCAGAAGCUCUAAAUCUAUGAAAUGGGUCAAAAUGUAAAUUAACCUAGCAUCUACCUAGGACAAGUGCCCAACAGCACAUGGAUUUCAAAGCUGUUUCAAGAUGCAGUUUCAUAGAUUUUGAAUUCUUUGUGUGUUGAACUUCAGUGACUAGCCUCAUUUGUACAAUAAUUUGACUUUAUUUCUGAAUUUGUCUAGAUUCAACUUCCAGCUAUUAGUUCUCAUCUAAAGCACUUUGUGUCUGAUUUGAUUUCCCUGUAUCCAAAAUUCAUCUCCCCACCUAGAUUAUCAAAGGCUUCUCUUACAUUUGUAUUGCAUACCAUUUUUAUGAGCUAAGUAGACAAAAUAAGAUUUUUUUAUGCAUACAUUCAAUUAAAAAUAUAUAUUUAAAGAACAAAAAAUAAAAAACUCCAGGGUGUAUUUAUUUUUUUUUUUUGGAUUGAACAUUAACAGUUCUCACUCCUUACUGCACUCCUUACUGCAUAGGUCAGAUUUUGCUUGCUGACAGCAAUUUUUGUUCUGAUUGCUACUCUUUAGAGCAACCUAACAUUCUUUCUAUUGAUUGCAAAAAUCAGGUUGCUUUGAUUCUUGAGAAAAAUUACUUAAGGUAAGAAUGGAAAAAAAAAAAACAAGCCAAAAAUCUCAUACCCAAAACCAACCAUACCAAAAACCUCAACCUGACUGCUAGAUUAUAUUUCACAAUCCAAGGCAGAAAAUAAAUAUGUAACUCAGAAAGUAACAAGUGACAGAAAUCUUGCCUCAAAGAGCUAUUAGCCAUUUAGUUGUGAGCAUAACCUCAUUUAUUUUUGUAACCCUUAAUUUGAUUUCAAAAGAAAUGUAUGAUGCUGUAGCUAAUUUCAUCCUGAUACAAAAGCUAAUUUAUCUUGCCUUUACAUGCAGCAUCACGUACCUGGAAAGAUUAUUUUAUUUGGAUAGAAUUAUGCAAAAGUGCUCAUUUUAUUCUGCAUGUAUACAGGGUGUAUUCCCCUGCAACUUAGAAUGAGUUGAUUCCAUUCUGUGUGUCCUUUUUUUCAGGUCUGAUCCUAUUGCAUUUUACUCUAACAAUAGCAACAUUGGAGGUUUUAGGCACUACAUUUAAAAACUCUCAAACAAGGAAAAUAAAAUCCUUAUUUGUAAAAAAUGAAGUUAUUUGUUUAGUAGUUAUUUUAUACUUAAUAUACUACAUUCAGACCAAAAUAAUGAUGAGAGUAAAGGUGUAAAUUAUGUGAUAUACAUUAUAUAAUUAUGUAAUUGGAUAAUGUACAC